GGGACCGGGCCGCUUCUUGUUCGGCGUGGGCGGCUCCUGGCAGACCCAUCCCGCGGUGCAGCCGCCGGCCCGGUAGGCGCCAGGACCCCGAGCCUCGGCGGCGGCGGCGGCGGCGGCAGCGCUGCCUUCACUCACCUCGUCCUCGCUCCCGUCCUACCCCGUUCCGCGCUGGGUGGAGUCCAAGUCUGAUUGCGAGAGUCCGGAACGCCGCCUCGGGGGCUUGACUCCAGCCCCGGGGAUCGAGAACGGCGCCCAGGGGUCCCUACGUCUGCCUUGGGGGCUCGAGUCCCGCCCUGGGCGUCCGUGACGUCGCCCAGGGGUCUCCACGUCUGCCCUGGAACCUGGAGAGCCGCCGUGGGGGCCCCGGAAGCUGCCCCGGAGUCCCCACGUCUGCCCUGGGGGCUCGAGUCCAGCUCUCAGGGUCCCGGACGCCACCCAGGGGGUCCCCAUGUCUGCUUUGGGGGCUCGAGUCCAGCCAUGGGGGUCCUGGACGCCGCCUCGGCGUCCCCGCGUCUGCCUUGGGGGCCCGAGUCCCGCCCUGGGGGUCCUGGACGCCGCCUCGGCAUCCCCGCGUCUGCCUUGGGGGCUCGAGUCCCGCCCUGGGGGUCCCCGAUGCCGCCCGGGGGUCCUCACGUCUACCUUGGAGACUGGAGUUCCCCCGUGGGAGUCUCGGACGCCACCCCGGAGUCACCGUGUCUAGCCUUGGGGGCUUGAGUCCAGCCCUGGGGGUCCUGGACGUCGCCGAGGAGCCCCCACGUCUGCCUUUGGGGCUUGAGACCUGCUCUGGGGGUCCCGGUCGCCGCCCAGGUGGGUCCCCACGUCUAGCCUUGGGGGCUUGAGUCCAGCCCUGGGGGGCCCGGAUGCCGCCCGGGGGUUCUCCUCGUCUGCCUUGGGGGUUGGGUCCAGCCCCAGGCGUCCUGACCACCGCCCAGGGGCCCCCACGUCUGCCUGGGGGCCUCAAAUUCAGUCCUGGGGGUCCCGGACGCCUCCCAGGGGUCUUCAUGUCUGCCGUGGGCCUCGAGUCCAGCCGUGAGGGUCCCGAAUGCUGCCUUGGAGGGUGGAGUCCAGCUCUGAGGGUCCUGAAGUCAGCUUUGGGGGUUCGAACCCAUCCAUCCCAGGGGUCCCUGAGUCUACAUUAGGGGCUGGAGUCCAGCCUUGAGGGUCUCCACUGCUGCCUUGGGGGCCUGGAUGGGAUCCAGCGGGUCUGAGUCCAGCCUCGGGAGCCCCUGCGGUGGAGCUCUGAGUGGGGCAGGGGCCUGGGAGAUGCCAGGAGGAUGAGAGCGGCGCCCCCCUGGUCCAGGGGACAGUAAGAGGCAGCCGGUCUCAGAGAAGCUACCCCAAAACUGUUACCCGUGGUGUGCAGAGCGUCCUGCAACCCCAGCCCUCACCAGGAUUUCUUGCGUUUUUCAGGAAAUCGGUUGUGAUUGGCAUGUUCCUUAAGCGUCUGCAGGAAGCCGAGGCCUUUUUGGUAUUUCAGGAGGGGUUGCUAACCCCCCUCCUUGUAGGAUCGGGGUAUCCCAGCUGCUAAUUCCCCUCCUAACAGCCCUGCAGCGCCUGGAUUGGAGGUGUGACAGGUGGCAUUUUUGGCCCGAAGUCCCUAGGCAGGACGGGUGGCUGUAGCCUGCGCGUUUGUGUAAAUUAACCUCCCUUUUUAGUUCUGUGAAGGGAGAACGUGAUUAGUUUAAAAUCACCUGCGUGAAAGAGGCUCUUGAUUAGUUUAAAAUCACCCACGUGAAAGGGGCUCUUGAUUAGCUUAAAAUCACCUGGGUGUUUCGUUUUAUCUCAGUUGGCCUCUGAAUGUUUAUCCUACAGCUUCCUGCAAGCUCCAGUCUACCUUCUAAGGGAAUAACGGGGCUCGUCUUUCUACGUUACUUUAUGUGGGAGUAGUUGUAAAACAGAAUGAGGGAGACCGCGGGGAUUGUGCGGAAAUGUAGCCACCGUUUACAUGUCGGGAGGCUGAGGUGGGAGGAUCGCUUGAGCCCAGGAGUUUGACACCAGCCUGGGCAACAUGGUAAGACCCCUUCUCUACCCUCCCCCCCAAAAAAAAAAUUUUAGUGUGGCAUGGUGGUGGGUGCCUGUGGUCCCAGCUACUCGGGACGCUGAGGUGGGAGGAUUGCUUGAGCCCAGGAGUUUGACACCAGCAUGGGCAAUAUGGUAAGACCCCAUUAUCUACAAAAAAAAAAAAAAA
rnacentral:lncRNA from 1 species